AAAGAAACAGCGCGCUCUAGGAAUGUUUAUCGAUGUUGCCUGGCCCGCUGAGUUCCUCCAGCAUUUUGUGUGUGUUACACACAAGGAUAAUGGAUAAAUUUGGACUAGGGGAAAGAAAUGAAAGAGAAUCCAAGUCGUUAACAAACUGCAGACCAGCAGAUGCAUUACUGGAAGAAUGCCAAAUACACUGACUAAGCAGAUGAAUAAAAUGCAACCUGUCCUUGAACUUGUGUAUAAAGGAGUAAUUAUGCUCUGUUUUUUUCAAAGCUAUCACCAGCUCUUCUGUAGUGCUAGUCUUCCCCUGCUGCAAAUAAAAUAACAACAUUUAUGAUUUAAUCCACUCUGAAGUAAUUGUUGCUUUUUUAAGAUAGAGUGAAAAGGAGCUCGACAAUAAUCAUAAUGUUGUGGACACAGCUCAGCACAUCAUGGGAACCAUCCUCCCCUCCAUGCUCUCUGCCUAUACUUCUUGUUGCUUCAGUAAAGUGGCCAGCAUAAUCAAAGACUCCACCCACCCCAGACAUUCACUCUUCUCCCCCCACCCCCCACCCCCAACUCUCUCUGGGAAGAAGAUAUAAAAGCCUGAAAGCACAUACCACCAGGCUCAAAGGCAGCUUCUACCCCACAGUUAUUGAUUGGAUGGUCCCCUAAUGUGAUAAGGUGGACUCCACCUCAAUGAAAUCACUAACCUGUUCCACAACCUAUGGACUCACCUUCAAGAAAUCUUCUUGAUAUUUAUUGCUUAUUUAUUUAUUAUUUUUUUCUUUUUGUAUUUGCACAGUUUUAUUAUAUACUGUAACUUCAAACAUUAAUCUAGUUCAAUGAAAGACACAGAAGUCUGAAGUGGGUCUAACUUUGAGUUUACUUUAAGCGAGGUGUGGUAACGUGAUGACGUGUGAAAUUCAUGUAUUUAUACAUAUAAGCCGGAAUGAAUUACUGAAACAAACAAGAAUGCUUAAUUAAACAAUAUAUUUACAAGAUUACUCAAAUAUUACUGAAAUAUUAAAUGCACACAUUUGUUGUCUAUUGCACAGUAGUUGAAUAUCCAAGUUGGAGUGGUCUUUCAUUGAUUCUAAUAUGGUUAUUAUUCUAUUAUGUAUUUAUUGUG